rnacentral:rRNA from 1 species
CUACGGGAGGCUGCAGUGAGGAAUAUUGCACAAUGGGGGGAACCCUGAUGCAGCAAUGCCGCGUGGAGGAUGACGCAUUUCGGUGUGUAAACUCCUUUUAUAUGUCAAGAAAAUGACGGUAGCAUAUGAAUAAGCACCGGCUAACUCCGUGCCAGCAGCCGCGGUAAUACGGAGGGGUGCAAGCGUUACUCGGAAUCACUGGGCGUAAAGGACGCGUAGGCGGGGUGGAAAGUCAGGUGUGAAAUCCUACAGCUUAACUGUAGAACUGCACUUGAAACUUCUAAUCUAGAGUAUGGGAGGGGGAGAUGGAAUUAGUGGUGUAGGGGUAAAAUCCGUAGAUAUCACUAGGAAUACCUAAAGCGAAGGCGAUCUCCUGGAACAUUACUGACGCUAAGGCGUGAAAGCGUGGGGAGCAAACAGGAUUAGAUACCCGAGUAGUC